CAGCCGCCGCGGUAAUACGUAGGUGGCGAGCGUUGUCCGGAAUCAUUGGGCGUAAAGGGAGCGCAGGCGGGCAUGUAAGUCUUUCUUAAAAGUUCGGGGCUCAACCCCGUGAUGGGAAAGAAACUACAUGUCUUGAGUACAGGAGAGGAAAGCGGAAUUCCCAGUGUAGCGGUGAAAUACGUAGAUAUUGGGAGGAACACCAGUGGCGAAGGCGGCUUUCUGGACUGCAACUGACGCUGAGGCUCGAAAGCCAGGGGAGCGAACGGGAUUAGAUACCCGCGUAGUCCCUGUCUCUUAUACA
rnacentral:rRNA from 1 species